GAUGAACGCUAGCUACAGGCUUAACACAUGCAAGUCGAGGGGAAACGGCAUUGAGUGCUUGCACUCUUUGGACGUCGACCGGCGCACGGGUGAGUAACGCGUAUCCAACCUUCCCAUUACUGUGGGAUAACCUGCCGAAAGGCAGACUAAUACCGCAUAGUCUUCGAUGACGGCAUCAGAUUUGAAGUAAAGAUUUAUCGGUAAUGGAUGGGGAUGCGUCUGAUUAGCUUGUUGGCGGGGUAACGGCCCACCAAGGCGACGAUCAGUAGGGGUUCUGAGAGGAAGGUCCCCCACAUUGGAACUGAGACACGGUCCAAACUCCUACGGGAGGCAGCAGUGAGGAAUAUUGGUCAAUGGACGGAAGUCUGAACCAGCCAAGUAGCGUGCAGGAUGACGGCCCUAUGGGUUGUAAACUGCUUUUGUAUGGGGAUAAAGUUAGGGACGUGUCCCUAUUUGCAGGUACCAUACGAAUAAGGACCGGCUA
rnacentral:rRNA from 1 species